rnacentral:rRNA from 1 species
AACGAACGCUGGCGGCAUGCCUAACACAUGCAAGUCGAACGAGACCUUCGGGUCUAGUGGCGCACGGGUGCGUAACGCGUGGGAACCUGCCCUUAGGUUCGGAAUACCUCCCCGAAAGGGGUGCUAAUACCGGAUAAUGUCUUCGGACCAAAGAUUUAUCGCCUUUGGAUGGGCCGGCGUUGGAUUAGCCAGUUGGUAGGGUAAAAGCCUACCAAGGCGACGAUCCAUAGCUGGUCUGAGAGGAUGAUCAGCCACACUGGGACUGAGACACGGCCCAGACUCCUACGGGAGGCAGCAGUGGGGAAUAUUGGACAAUGGGCGAAAGCCUGAUCCAGCAAUGCCGCGUGAGUGAUGAAGGCCUUAGGGUUGUACAGCUCUUUUACCCGGGAUGAUAAUGACAGUACCGGGAGAAUAAGCUCCGGCUAACUCCGUG